AUUGAACGCUGGCGGCAGGCCUAACACAUGCAAGUCGAACGGUAACAGGAAGCAGCUUGCUGCUUUGCUGACGAGUGGCGGACGGGUGAGUAAUGUCUGUGAAACUGCCUGAUGGAGGGGGAUAACUACUGGAAACGGUAGCUAAUACCGCAUAACGUCGCAAGCCCAAAGAGGGGGACCUUCGGGCCUCUUGCCAUCGGAUGUGCCCAGAUGGGCUUAGAUAGUAGGUGGGGUAACGGCUCACCUAGGCGACGAUCCCUAGCUGGUCUGAGAGGAUGACCGGCCACACUGGAACUGAGACACGGUCCAGACUCCUACGGGAGGCAGCAGUGGGGAAUAUUGCACAAUGGGCGCAAGCCUGAUGCAGCCAUGCCGCGUGUAUGAAGAAGGCCUUCGGGUUGUAAAGUACUUUCAGCGGGGAGGAAGGGAGUAAAGUUAAUACCUUUGCUAAUUGACGUUACCCGCAGAAGAAGCACCGGCUAACUACGUG
rnacentral:rRNA from 1 species